rnacentral:lncRNA from 1 species
CUAUUAUUUUGGUUUGUCUUUGUCAAUAAACUACAAGAUUGAACAAGAAAAAGAUAAUGUGGAAAAAGAAGCAAUAAUAGCAGCAUGUUGAGUAGUACCAAAAUAAUAAUAACAUGCUUGAGUAGAGUGUUACAUAUAGAUCCUCAUUAUUUAUUUGAAAGCACAACAUAUUCUCUUCACUUAGAAAGUUUUAGAGAACAAAACUUAUGUCUUGGUUUCUUGUAAUUUUGUUUCUCAGUCUCACAUUUUGUAGUGUUUCAGAGGCUAGACAUCAUAAGAAGGUUCCUUCUGCUCUUGUGGUUGGUACUGUCUACUGUGACACAUGUUUUCAGAAUGAUUUUUCCUUUGGAAGCCAUUUUAUUUCAGGUCCAUUUCACAAUUUCAUAUUCCGGAUCCGUAUGCGAGUUGAAUUUUAGAACGGAAGAAAAUAGAAGACUUCAGUAUCAUGAAAUACACUAUGAAAUGAGUCUGAAGUCUUAUCUUUCUCUUCCUUUCCUUGAAAACUCGACUCGUAAACAGACAAUUAGAUGUUAUGUGAUAACUUUGCGGCUGAUAUAUAUAUGUUUUUGAUGUUGUUGAGUACAGGUGCAUCAGUAGCAAUAGAAUGCAAAGAUGGGAAAUCAAAACCAAGAUUUAAGAGUGAAGUAAAGACAAAUGAGCAUGGAGAAUUCAAAGUGAAGCUACCAUUUUCAGUGAGUAAAAAUGCUAAGAGAAUCAAAGGAUGUAGUUUGAAAUUGAUAAGUAGCAAUGACCCUUAUUGUGCUGUGGCCUCAACAACAACCUCUUCAUCACUAAACCUCAAAUCAACAAACCAAAAACAACACAUUUUCUCAUUCAAGCCUAUAAAAAAGCCAAACCUAUGUAACCAAAAACCAAAGUUUUCAGAUAAAAAGUUCUUUUUUCCAACAAUCCCUUUUUUUCCACCACUUGUUCCAAACCCAUUUCAGCCACCACUUAUUCCAAACCCAUUUCAGCCACCACCACUUAUUCCAAACCCAUUUCAGCCACCACCUCUUAUUCCAAACCCAUUUCAGCCACC